rnacentral:rRNA from 1 species
GAUGAACGCUGGCGGCGUGCCUAAUACAUGCAAGUCGAGCGAACGGACGAGAAGCUUGCUUCUCUGAUGUUAGCGGCGGACGGGUGAGUAACACGUGGAUAACCUACCUAUAAGACUGGGAUAACUUCGGGAAACCGGAGCUAAUACCGGAUAAUAUUUUGAACCGCAUGGUUCAAAAGUAAAAGACGGUCUUGCUGUCACUUAUAGAUGGAUCCGCGCUGCAUUAGCUAGUUGGUAAGGUAACGGCUUACCAAGGCAACGAUGCAUAGCCGACCUGAGAGGGUGAUCGGCCACACUGGAACUGAGACACGGUCCAGACUCCUACGGGAGGCAGCAGUAGGGAAUCUUCCGCAAUGGGCGAAAGCCUGACGGAGCAACGCCGCGUGAGUGAUGAAGGUCUUCGGAUCGCAAAACUCUGUUAUUAGGGAAGAACAUAUGUGUAAGUAACUGUGCACAUCUUGACGGUACCUAAUCAGAAAGCCACGGCUAACUACGUG